GGGAGGAUGGCCGAGUGGUUAAGGCGCUUGACUCAAGUUCAAGUGGAGAGAUCCGCGUGGGUUCGAGUCCCACUCCUCUCA
rnacentral:tRNA from 1 species